AUUGAACGCUGGCGGCAGGCCUAACACAUGCAAGUCGAACGGUAACAGGAAGCAGCUUGCUGCUUUGCUGACGAGUGGCGGACGGGUGAGUAAUGUCUGGGAAACUGCCUGAUGGAGGGGGAUAACUACUGGAAACGGUAGCUAAUACCGCAUAACGUCGCAAGACCAAAGAGGGGGACCUUCGGGCCUCUUGCCAUCGGAUGUGCCCAGAUGGGAUUAGCUAGUAGGUGGGGUAACGGCUCACCUAGGCGACGAUCCCUAGCUGGUCUGAGAGGAUGACCAGCCACACUGGAACUGAGACACGGUCCAGACUCCUACGGGAGGCAGCAGUGGGGAAUAUUGCACAAUGGGCGCAAGCCUGAUGCAGCCAUGCCGCGUGUAUGAAGAAGGCCUUCGGGUUGUAAAGUACUUUCAGCGGGGAGGAAGGGAGUAAAGUUAAUACCUUUGCUCAUUGACGUUACUCGCAGAAGAAGCACCGGCUAACUCCGUG
rnacentral:rRNA from 1 species